rnacentral:rRNA from 1 species
AGAUUGAACGCUGGCGGCAGGCCUAACACAUGCAAGUCGAGCGGUAGAGAGGUGCUUGCAUCUCUUGAGAGCGGCGGACGGGUGAGUAAUGCCUAGGAAUCUGCCUAGUGGUGGGGGAUAACGUUCGGAAACGGACGCUAAUACCGCAUACGUCCUACGGGAGAAAGCGGGGGACCUUCGGGCCUCGCGCCAUUAGAUGAGCCUAGGUCCGGAUUAGCUAGUUGGUGAGGUAAUGGCUCACCAAGGCGACGAUCCGUAACUGGUCUGAGAGGAUGAUCAGUCACACUAGGAACUGAGACACGGUCCAGACCUCCUACGGGAGCGAGCGAGGUGGGGAAUAGUGGACAAGUGGGACGAAAGCCUAGACUCCAGGACCAGUCGCCGACGUGUGUAGGAAGUAAGGUCGUUCGGAUUUAGGUAAAGCUAACGUUUUAAGGUGGGAAGGUAAGGGUUACGUUAAAUUUAAGUACGUUAG